rnacentral:rRNA from 1 species
CCUACGGGGAGCAGCAGUGGGGAAUAUUGCGCAAUGGGCGAAAGCCUGACGCAGCGACGCCGCGUGAGGGAUGAAGGUCUUCGGAUCGUAAACCUCUGUCAGUAGGGAAGACCGGUCACUGAGCUAAUCAGCAGUGAAUUGACGGUACCUGCAAAGGACGCACCGGCUAACUCCGUGCCAGCAGCCGCGGUAAUACGGAGGGUGCGAGCGUUAUUCGGAUUUACUGGGCGUAAAGGGCUCGUAGGCGGUAGGUCAAGUCAAGGGUGAAAUCCCGGCGCUCAACGUGGGAACUGCCUUUGAAACUGGCAGACUGGAGUAUGUGAGAGGAUAGUGGAAUUCCAGGUGUAGGAGUGAAAUCCGUAGAUAUCUGGAGGAACAUCAGUGGCGAAGGCGACUAUCUGGCACAUAACUGACGCUGAGGAGCGAAAGCGUGGGUAGCAAACAGGAUUAGAUACCCGUGUAGUC